ACAGUCGUGAGAAUAGAAGUGGCAAAAUGGAUUUAAAAAAUGGAUAUCCAUCCAAUCCAUUCAGAAUGGAUUUAAAAUGCACUGACCCAUAUUAUCCACCCAAACUAUGGAUAAUUUAUGGAUAAAUAAACCCUAAAACCCAAUUUGCAAAAAAGGGUGAUAAUAGUACGCAGCUUCAGCCUUCACCCAAUUGCAAUGGCUACGCCCACCCAAACUCCGGCCAAUACCACCCAGGCUCCGGCCAACAGCAGCCAAGUUCCGGCCAACAAUUCCCAACAUCUGUCAACUUCUCCGGUAGAGAUAUCGAUGGAAGCUAAUGCUGAUUCUUGAGAACAAAGUGCUUCAACUAUGUUAAAACAAGGCAAGAGGAAAAGAUCCAUUGUUUGGAAUUCUUUUGUUAGGCGAAUUCUAUGAUUCUGAUACUAUGGUUUUGAGCACUCUGCUUGGUACUUGUCGAUCUUGUGCUGAUAUUGAAUAUGCAAGUGAGGUAGCCAGCCGCUUGCUUGAAUUGGAGCCGGGAGAGCAUAGCACUUAUGUUCUGCUCUCCGACAUGUACAGACAAUUCAAUCUUAGUGGUUUAACAACAAAGUUUUAAGUGGUAGGGAAUUGACCACAGAAUUUGCUCCAUUCGCCAGAGGCGGGGAUCGUACCCCCGACCUUUUGCUUAAGGGACAUGCAUCUACAUUGACAAUUUAUUCAUAUUUGACCUUUGUCCGUGGUUGAGCGUGUUACUACUUCACAUCAAUAAAGCAGCUGAGAUUUUGUUUAAAAUUAAACUUUCGUUCACAGAUCUCCCUGUUUGAGCCUUGGAGCAUAUUGGAGAUAUGAAAUGGACUUUUUACGCUGCCUAAGGGACUGAAAAUGGAUGUGCAGAAGUAUCUCUAUUUUUUGCAGCAGGAUGACGAUGAGGAAAUUAUUGCAAAAAAAAUACUACUGUUAUUCUGUUAUUCAGAAUUGACUGGAAGAAAAUGUUUUUCACUGGUGCUAUUUUGACUGUGUUUAGGGUAAUGUUUCAAAUUUCUUCACUUCCUUAUCCUCUUACUGAAUGGAUCCUCUUCCCAUAUUAGGAGGUUUCAUCUUCUCAAAGUUCGAAUCAUGAAAAGAACUUAAUGGAACUUCCAGUGAGUCCAGAUAGCCGGUUUAGCAUUAGUCGGCAUGUCCCUGUAGUUGUUUCACUCAACUCUACAGACGGACUGAGUCAAAGACUGCAAGUUCUGGAAAGACGAGAGCAAGUUUCGACACAGCAGAAACGUAGGAAGCAUGUGAAUGCAGUAGAUAAAGUUAUUUCUACUUCUUCACCUGUUAGAAACUCGUCCAACCAUAUGCUGAGAUAUAUAGCAUCUUUGACUCCAGAUGAGGCACGUGCAUAUGCCAAAAGAGAGAUUGAGAAUGCACCACUAGUUACGGACGAUCACGACUUGUAUACUCCUCUAUUCAGGAACGUAUCCAUGUUUAAGAGGUUUUGAGGCACAAUCUUGGGGUCCUGAUAAGCUGUAGAUUUCUUCAGACAGAAGUGCAGAGUCCAGUUGAAAACAGUCAUGCCUUCUUGUUGUUCCAACAACCAGGAUACUCAGGAUGAUGAAGUCCGCCCUACCCAUGGGAUGCGGACCCAUAAUAGAGCGCACACUCCAGAAACUGUUCGUACUCCGGGAGUACCUCCAGUCCCGACCAGUCCUCCUCGAGCUCCAAGAACAAAUGUUAAUCGUACUCGUCUUCUCAGAGGGACAUACAGAAUGCAGAAUUCAGAUAGUUCAUUCAUAUGCUUGCGCAACUGGUAGAUGCACAGACUCAGAGGUUAGAGGAUACUGGGUCUGCAUCAGUUACUUCUGAGACUACUAGGGUGGGCCAGUUCAUGAGAAUGAACCCGCCCAAAUUUUCUGGCACUAAGGUAGAAGAGGACCCCCAGGAGUUCAUAGAUGAAAUGGAGAAGAUUUUCAGAGUAAUGCAUGUAGAUCAGGUGGAAGGGUUGAGUUAGCAGCAUGCCAGCUUAAAGAUGUAGCGAACCAAUGGUAUAAUGAGUGGGAAGAGGCGAAUGGUGAGAGAGUUAAGCCCAUAGUUUGGGGCGAGUUUGUGGAAGCUUUUCUUGAUCGAUUUUUUCCUCUAGAGUUGAGGAAAUCCAAAGCAGAGGAAUUCAUGAAUCUUAAACAGGGGAAAAUGAGUGUCCAAGAGUACACUUGAAGUUUAACCAAUUGGCUCGUUAGCACCAGAAAUGACAGGUAAUAUGAGAGCUCGAAUGAAGAAAUUUGCAUCCGGCCUUUUAGAUGAUCUAGCGCUUGAAUGUCAAGGGGAGAUGCUAAAUAGGGAUAUGGACUUUGCUAGGCUGUCAAUCUAUAUGCAGCAGGUAGAAGAGAAGAAAAAGAAAAUCACCGAAUCUAGAGAGAAGGAAAGAAAGGCAAAGAGAGCCAGAACAACGGAUCAGAACCACAGUCAGACACAGAGUGGUAACUGGGGAAAUAGAUAGCAAAAAAAAAAAGUUUUGGAGUAACGCCCAGUCUGUAUCUAGUGCCCCAGCGCCUAGACCACAGUUGAUAGACGAUCUUAGAGUUUUCAAACUAGUCAUGGACCCAGAGCUCAGGAUACUCAGUCAUAGGGAAGUGUGGCUCAGCAGUACCGUCUUUUUUCGCGGUAUGAGACAUGUGGAAAGCAACACCUAGGGAGGUGUCAGUUGGGAAAGCUGGUGUAUUAUUCAUAUGGUCAGUCGGGUCACUUUCAGAGAGAUUGUCCCUCCGCUAGGAGGAAUAUUGGUGUAACUAAGUCACAGGUAAAUUCUUUCGCACUACCACUGCCUCAAAAGGGCACCACUUCAGCUGUCAGGAGCAGUUGCAACCGGCUGUAUGCUUUUUCCAACCGUCAGGAGGCAGAGGCCUCACCCGAUGUAGUAAUUGGUACCAUGGCUGCCACCAAUCUCGAUACUACGUUUGACUGCAUCACCGACUAUAUUGAAGAAAUGAAAUGGCACGUGGAAAGGCUACGCCAAUUGCUACCUAAACUUAUCCCACAAAAUUCAACUUCCCUUGUCCAAACACGUUGUGACGAGAUCUUCCCGAAGGAAGAGGUGGGCUACCCCGACCCACACCAAGAUUCGAGGUUGAAUCCUUUUCAAGAAGGGAAGGAUGAUACACGGAAGACCACGAGGAUGGACGUGAAUGAGUGCGUAAUGAAUCCGUCCAAGGAAGUGCACAAGUGAAGUGUAGAAGAGGGCCUAAACACAUUAAAAUCAGCCCACUUCUUGCACUUGAUGGGCACCUCACCCUUGAGGGGUAUUAUGGACAUUUCACACUAUUUUUGUAAUAUCUAUAAAUAGAACCUUUUAGGGUUUCAUCAUUAGACUUUGAUGAUAAUGACUGUUGUAUAACAUUGAAAGACAAGUCCUCUCUCCUUGAGGCACAAAUCCGAAACUUGUAACUAGGGUGAAAUCACUAGUGUUGCAUUCUUACUUAGAGUGUUGGGUGCUAGAGGAGGUUGAGGUCUCUUUUGUGCUCACCGAAGAGAGUAAGUGUUCCUAUUAUCAUUGUAUUAAGGGUCUAGGUUCUUGAUUAUACACUUAGGUUCUUAGUUCAUGAGAUAAUGUAUGUUACUCUAUCUAUCCUUUCUAUUCUUGCAAUCUUGUAACGUUUGUAUCUUGUAUUGUACCCGUUUGUGGUGUUGUUGUUAUUCCCAUUGUUAA